GAUGAAGAACGCAGCGAAAUGCGAUACGUAAUGUGAAUUGCAAAUUCAGUGAAUCAUCGAGUCUUUGAACGCACAUUGCGCCCCCUGGUAUUCCGGGGGGCAUGCCUGUCCGAGCGUCAUUGCUGCCCUCAAGCACGGCUUGUGUGUUGGGCCCCGUCCUCCGAUCCCGGGGGACGGGCCCGAAAGGCAGCGGCGGCACCGCGUCCGGUCCUCGAGCGUAUGGGGCUUUGUCACCCGCUCUGUAGGCCCGGCCGGCGCUUGCCGAUCAACCCAAAUUUUUAUCCAGGUUGACCUCGGAUCAGAUAGGGAUACCCGCUGAACUUAAGCAUAUCAAUAAGCGGAGGA
rnacentral:misc_RNA from 1 species